rnacentral:rRNA from 1 species
AUUGAACGCUGGCGGCAUGCCUUACACAUGCAAGUCGAACGGUAACGGGCCUUCGUGUGCCGACGAGUGGCGGACGGGUGCGUAAUACAUCGGAACGUGCCCGAUCGUGGGGGAUAACGAGGCGAAAGCUUUGCUAAUACCGCAUACGAUCUACGGUUGAAAGCCGGGGACCGCAAGGCCUUGCGCGGACGGAGCGGCCGCUGGCAGAUUAGGUAGUUGGUCGGAUAAAAGCUUACCAAGCCGACGAUCUGUAGCUGGUCUGAGAGGAUGAUCAGCCACACUGGGACUGAGACACGGCCCAGACUCCUACGGGAGGCAGCAGUGGGGAAUUUUGGACAAUGGGCGCAAGCCUGAUCCAGCCAUGCCGCGUGCAGGAUGAAGGCCUUCGGGUUGUAAACUGCUGUUGUACGGAAAGAAAAGCCUUCUUUUAAUACAGGAGGGUCAUGACGGUACCGUAAGAAUAAGCACCGGCUAACUACGUG